rnacentral:rRNA from 1 species
GACGAACGCUGGCGGCGUGCCUAAUACAUGCAAGUAGGACGCAGUUGCGAACGGGUGAGUAACGCGUAGGUAACUACCUAUUAGAGGGGGAUAACUAUUGGAAACGAUAGCUAAUACCGCAUACUAGUAGAUGGACCUGCGUUGUAUUAGCUAGUAGGUAGGGUAAUGGCCUACCUAGGCAACGAUACAUAGCCGACCUGGAGGGGUGGACGGGCACACGGGGAAUGGGAAAAGGCCCAGGCUCCUACGGGGGGCAGCAGUAGGGGAACAUCGGCAAUGGGGGGAAACCUGACCGAGCAACGCCGGGGGAGUGGAGAAGGUUUUCGGGUCGUAAAGCUCUGUUGUUAAGGAAGCGGUACUUAACCAGAAAGGGACGGCUAACUACGUGCCAGCAGCCGCGGUAAUAC